GACGAACGCUGGCGGCGUGCUUAACACAUGCAAGUCGAACGGAAAGGCCCUGCUUUUGUGGGGUGCUCGAGUGGCGAACGGGUGAGUAACACGUGAGUAACCUGCCCUUGACUUUGGGAUAACUUCAGGAAACUGGGGCUAAUACCGGAUAGGAGCUCCUGCUGCAUGGUGGGGGUUGGAAAGUUUCGGCGGUUGGGGAUGGACUCGCGGCUUAUCAGCUUGUUGGUGGGGUAGUGGCUUACCAAGGCUUUGACGGGUAGCCGGCCUGAGAGGGUGACCGGCGACAUGGGGACUGAGAGACGGCCCAGACUCGUACGGGAGGCAGCAGGGGGGAAUAUUGCACAAUGGGCGGGAGCCUGAUGCAGCAACGCCGCGUGCGGGAUGACGGCCUUCGGGUUGUAAACCGCUGUCGCCUGUGACGAAGCGUGAGUGACGGUAAUGGGUAAAGAAGCACCGGCUAACUACGUG
rnacentral:rRNA from 1 species